GAUCCUGGCUCAGGAUGAAUGCUGGCGGCGUGCCUAACACAUGCAAGUCGAGCGGCAGCGAGGGGUGCUUGCACCCUGUCGGCGAGCGGCGAACGGCUGAGUAACGCGUAGGAAUUUGCCCCAAAGUGAGGAAUAACUGCCCGAAAGGGUAGCUAAUGCCGCAUAUGGUCUUCGGAUUAAAGGAUUUAUCCGCUUUGGGAGAAGCCUGCGUUGGAUUAGGUAGUUGGUAGGGUAAUGGCCUACCAAG
rnacentral:rRNA from 1 species